rnacentral:rRNA from 1 species
GGAGCCAACGUUGAAAUACCACCCUGGUGUGUUUGAGGUUCUAACCUUGGCCCGUUAUCCGGGUUGGGGACAGUGUAUGGUAGGCAGUUUGACUGGGGCGGUCUCCUCCCAAAGCGUAACGGAGGAGUUCGAAGGUACGCUAGGCACGGUCGGAAAUCGUGCUGAUAGUGCAUAGGCAUAAGCGUGCUUGACUGCGAGACUGACAAGUCGAGCAGGUACGAAAGUAGGACUAAGUGAUCCGGUGGUUCUGUAUGGAAGGGCCAUCGCUCAACGGAUAAAAGGUACUCCGGGGAUAACAGGCUGAUACCGCCCAAGAGUUCACAUCGACGGCGGUGUUUGGCACCUCGAUGUCGGCUCAUCACAUCCUGGGGCUGUAGCCGGUCCCAAGGGUAUGGCUGUUCGCCAUUUAAAGUGGUACGUGAGCUGGGUUUAAAACGUCGUGAGACAGUUUGG